rnacentral:rRNA from 1 species
CACGCCGUAAACGAUGAAUACUAGGUGUAGGGGGUAUCGACUCCCUCUGUGCCGCAGCUAACGCAAUAAGUAUUCCACCUGGGGAGUACGGCCGCAAGGUUGAAACUCAAAGGAAUUGACGGGGGCCCGCACAAGCAGUGGAUUAUGUGGUUUAAUUCGAAGCAACGCGAAGAACCUUACCAGGACUUGACAUCCUUUGACGACUAUAGAGAUAUAGUUUCCCUUCGGGGCAAAGAGACAGGUGG